CAGUUCGACUGUGCCACCACUUCGACUGUGAACGCGAUAGGAAUUGGAUCGUCUAUUCUACAAAGCUCCUUUAUCUUUUGCAACAAUUACAUUCGAAUGUCUUUUCAAGCGCUAACGACAUAAUCGACGUUUGGUAAUAUCCAUCAACAGAGGGGACAAUUCGGAUGCACAAUCUAUGCCUAUGACUGUGCAGUAGGGAGGGCAUACUCUUCUCCACCACUUGUCUGGCGCCACUAUUGUCUCCGAAAGCCAAGCUGUAAAUCUUCGUUGCUUAUACCGUUUUCUUGAAACGACGUUGCGACACAACCUUCCAGUGUUAGUGGCAGCUUAUUCGGUAAGGGAAAUCACAGUUAAAUUUCAUAAUACGGUAUUUUUAUCGGUACGUAGAACGUUCUUCGGUAAAACAUCAAAAUUAUUCAAUUUUGCAAUUUACAAUGUUUUCUUCGCACAAGUACCCUUCAAGUAAAUUUAUUAAUUUACUGCAGAGAUUACUCGCGUGUUUUUAUUCUUCGAAAGAAUUGCAAAUUAAGCGUCUAACGCAAUUUUACGUCGUGCAUAUUUAUGCGCAACUGUAAUACGAAUUCAGAGGUUCGGUAAGGAAAAAAAAAAAUGAAAAAAUAAUGUGUAUUCUGUGCAACCACGGAGAGAGAAAUAUCCGUUGAACAACCAGUUUGUGAAAUAUCGUUUGAAUUUUUUACCGAAUAACUUGCUGAAAAUAACGUCAAUUGUUUUAAAAUUAAUAAAAUUUGUAUUCCAUGCAAAGAUAUUAAACCGAUAGAAAUGCCGAUUUUA